GCCGGUGUGGCGGAAUGGCAGACGCUGCGCACUCAAAAUGCGCUGUCCGAAAGGGCGUGUGGGUUCGAGUCCCACCACCGGUACC
rnacentral:tRNA from 1 species